GAUGAACGCUGGCGGCGUGCCUAAUACAUGCAAGUCGAGCGAACAGACGAGGAGCUUGCUCCUCUGACGUUAGCGGCGGACGGGUGAGUAACACGUGGAUAACCUACCUAUAAGACUGGGAUAACUUCGGGAAACCGGAGCUAAUACCGGAUAAUAUAUUGAACCGCAUGGUUCAAUAGUGAAAGACGGUUUUGCUGUCACUUAUAGAUGGAUCCUCGCCGCAUUAGCUAGUUGGUAAGGUAACGGCUUACCAAGGCAACGAUGCGUGGCCGACCUGAGAGGGUGAUCGGCCACCCUGGAAGUGAGACACGGUCCAGACUCCUACGGGAGGCAGCAGUAGGGAAUCUUCCGCAAUGGGCGAAAGCCUGACGGAGCAACGCCGAGUGAGUGAUGAAGGUCUUCGGAUCGUAAAACUCUGUUAUUAGGGAAGAACAAAUGUGUAAGUAACUAUGCACGUAUUGACGGUACCUAAUCAGAAAGCCACGGCUAACUACGUG
rnacentral:rRNA from 1 species